UUUUUUAAAUCAACGUCUACAUUUCUGUGUUUUCCAAACAAAUAAUAAUCAUUAAGUUCUUUUUCCUUCUUUGUUCAGAUUUCAUGAAGCCCCUGUGACCUCCGCUGCCCACAUUGAAAGCCUUGGAGGAACAGAAGGAGGCAGGGAUAAAUCGCGGGAAAAGCAAGAUUAUGUGAAUGCAGAGCAAUAGUGUGAUCGAGGAUUAGUAAAAACGCCCAUUGAGAGAAGGUGAUUUUAUCUCUACUUAUUACAUGGCUAAACCCCAUCGAUCAAUUGAAACAUAACGGUGGUAACCUGAAAAGAUUAAAAAAACCUGCCAGCUCUUCAAGAUAUUUUGAUAACUUGUUGUAUAAAUCUUCAAGUUUUCUAAUUUUUGCAAUGGGAGGAGGAAGGAAUUUCUUAAGCUGUUCAAUGUCUUUCUUAAGGGCACGGAGGACACUUUUAAUAAAAGAUAUAGCGUUCUGAACUGUAGUAAACGGAAUGCAUGUUGUGCUGAUAGAAGUCGUGUCGGUGGUGGUCUCACUCGUUGUCCCGGUAGUGGCUGUGACUGCAUCU